GUAACAAGGUUUCCGUAGGUUAAGUUCAGCCUACCAGAGCAGCCUGGAAAUGCUAGUUGGCGCUGCGCCAGCGACACGCCCACCUUGCGGAAAAGCCCUGCCUCAGGGAAACCCGCAGCCCCUACCCGGGGUUCAGAGACUCAAUAGGCGUGGGUCUGGCUUCGGCCAGGCUUGAGAUAGAGCCCGUCCCCGCUGGCCACGGCGGGGAGCAAACGGAACCUGCGGAAGGAUCAUUA
rnacentral:rRNA from 1 species